GACGAACGCUGGCGGCGCGCUUAACACAUGCAAGUCGAGCGAAGCGGCGGACGGGUGAGUAACACGUGAGUAACCUGCCUUAGACAUUGGGAUAGCCUCGGGAAACCGGGAUUAAUACCAAAUGGUCUAAGAUGGACUCGCGUCCCAUUAGCUAGUUGGUGAGGUAACGGCCCCCCAAGGCGACAAUGGGUAGCCGGCCUGAGAGGGUGAACGGCCACAUUGGAACGGAGAAACGGUCCAAACUCGACGGGAGGCAGCAGUGGGGAAUAUUGCACAAUGGAGGGAACUCUGAUGCAGCGAAGCCGCGUGAACGAAGAAGGCUUACGAGUCGUAGAGUGAUUUUAAAUGGGAAGAGGUAACAGAAGAAAAAGCCCCGGAUAACUACGUGCCAGCAGCCGCGGUAAUA
rnacentral:rRNA from 1 species